rnacentral:lncRNA from 1 species
CUCACAAGCUGCUCGCUUGCUAUCAUCCUUAAUUGAUUCAAAAUCCUCAACAUGGGCUACACCGACAAUCCUCAUAUCAAUCAAAACGAAAAAAACUUCAUGUUAUGUAGAUUCACAGGAUUAAAUCUAAAUAUAUUUGACGACUAAAAUGAUUUUGAGACACAAGUUACACAUCAAAAUUUUAAACAAUUUGAUACUGCAUGAACAAUUUAUGGAACAAAACAACCGUCAACGUAAGUACUUAUUUGAUAUAACUUAUCUAGUAACCAUAAUACUUAUUUAAUCUCAUCAAUUCUUUACAAAUCUUUUUUUUUUUUGUUCAAAUUUUUUUUACUGGAGUUUUUUAAAAUUAAAGAAGCUAUUUUCAAUCUAUUAAUUAGGGAGCAAAUGUUAAAAAAAAUUAAAAUAUUAUAAUUUCUAAAAUAUCUUUUACUUAUUUGACAAUAUUAUUUCAUAACAUAACUUUAAAAAAUUUGUGUAUUAAAGUAAUUGUACAAUUUUAAAUAAAAACUCUCAUUGACAACAAACAAUUAUUUUUUUAUUUUUUAAAAAAAUGUAAAAGCUCUACUAGUGAAGCUCUAUUUGAAAAGAUACACCAAAUGAAGCCUAAAAUUAACAUUAUUGAUACAUCUUUUCAAGAGGAAACACGGAGCCAUUCAAGCUAAACAAAAUUAGAACCCCAAUUCAUCUGUUUUUCUUUGAGACUCAGUUCCUGCUUUUGGGAUUUACAAUGAUUUGUCAAGCAAGGCUUUUCAAAGGUCUAACGCACAAAUUGAUCGAUAAAAGAACAUCCAUCGACAUUUUGUUAUCAAAAUAUAGAAGAAAUGUAAUAUAGCUACGGACAGUAUCCCAAAUGAUAAAAGAGUCUACUCCUGACAAAAUAGGAUUGUAACCAAUCAAAAACAGAUCAAGACGGCUCUACUAAAAGUUAGCAAAAGAAGGAAAUGGGGUCACUGUGAGUAGGGGUGGGCAUAAACCCACAACCUAUGGGUUUAUCCAAACUCAAACCAAAUUAAAUGGUUUAGGUUGGGUAAAUCAUGAAAAUGGGUUAGAUGUGGGUUUUAUGUAGAAAACCAUUUCAUUAUGGUUUGGGUAUGGUUUACCCAUGAGUUAUGGACAAAACCCCAACACUCAAAUUUUUCAAAUGAAAUAAAUGAAAACAAAAUAAAUGAACACAAAUAAGUGAAAGACCACUAUUAAAUUUUUUACAGCGUGAUCAAUUGUCAACAGUUAUAAAAUGAAAAUAACAGUAAAAAUAAAUUUAAAUUAAAUAAAUAUUGUUGUAAAUAACAUAAAUUUUUUUUCUUAUUUAUAAAAAUAAUUCCUCCAACAUGGAAAGAUCAUCAUAGAAAGAGCAGGAGACUCUACUCAGAAGAAAUUUAUUAUUUAUCUUAUAGUAAAUUUUUAUUUGUCAUUCAAGUUUUCUUAUAAUAAUUUUUUUUAUCAUUUGACUAAUAAUUUUCUUAUAUAUUUAUUAUAAGCAAAUUUUCACAAAAUAAAUAAGUAUAAAAAAAUUUUAUUAUUAAUUUUUUUGUUCAUAUCAAAACAUAUAUUUCUUAUUUUUAAUGCUUUAUUUUUUAUUUAGUUUCUAUUCAUGUGAUUUAUUUAAUUUAGAAUAAAUAUAAAUAAAAGAGUAGUUGAAAAUAACGGUAAUAUUGUAAAUUUAUACUAUUAUGGGGGGUUUUGGCCAUUAUAAAAGCAGAAGGGGGAAAAAUAAUAUAUGUUGAUUACUGUAGGGGGGAAACUGGCAAUCUCCCUAAAAUUAAACAUAUAAGUAGACAACAUAACGCAAAAAUACCAAAACGAUACAUAAAAACAAAUAUUACAUAACUAAAUAAAUAACAAGUGGCAAAAUUUAUUAUUAGAUUGUUAAUGUCAUGUUUGUGAAAGUUUAUUAUUAAAGUGUACGUUCUUAUUUAUUGAGAAAUAAUAAUUUUUGUGAUUAAACUUUAUUUUGAUUUUGUAGUAUUCUUUAAUUUAAGGAUUAAGUUAUUGUAAAAUUUAUAAUUUUUAUCCACUAUAUUUUUUUAUAUUUUAAUAUCAAUUUAAUAAUUAAUAACAAUUAAUAAUUAUUAUAAUUUUGAUAUAAUUAAAUUUUAUUAAAAUAAAAAUUAUUUUGAUAAUAAAAUUCAAACCAAACCCAAAUGGUUUGGUUUGGUUUGGGUUAAAAAUAUUUGGAUUGGUUUGGGUUGGAUCCAAAUUUUUAUAAUUUAGUUUGGGUUGACUUAAAAUCCAACCCAAACCAACUCAUGCUCACCCCUAACUGUGAGUGUUGGAACUAGGAAUAAAGAAAAUAAAUGAACAAACUUAAAAAGACUUAAACUCACCUUAUCAUUUUGGCAGCACCAAAUCCAAGGGUGUCAUGGAAUAGAUCUUUCAUAAAUUUUUCUUGUACAAGCUACUGAAGCUCGGGCUUGUUAUAAAUUUCUGGAAGGUAUGCCUCACCAGAACCAUCCCUGUGUUGAUGCCAAAGUGCAGUGAAUUUCUUGUGGAACAGAGUCCAAGUCUCUUCAAUUGUCCUCCAAAUCCACUCCUUGUAUUCCUACACGUAGAUGUAAAUUUAAGACAUGACCCUUAAGAAACGAGUAAAUAGAAGUUGAACCCUGCAAGAAUGUUUAUAACUUAUCCAUUCCCCGUGAUAAGAAACAUGAAAUGCUAGUUGCUUUAAUUCUUGACUAGAAAUGAAGGAUAGCCCAAUCCAACCCCACACCCCUGGCUACUCCCCAAGUUGAAAUAUCUUCCCCGCACCCCCCAACCCCCCCCCCCCCAAUUUCCUCCUUUAAGGCCAACUAGCAACCCAUUCCCCCCUCUUAUUCCUUUCUCUCAUUUUUUUCCUUAUCUACUCUUUUAUUCCUAUUAAUCUCAUCUUUAACUUUAUUCCGUUUAUUCUCUUUCUCCAUAUCUUCUUUUCUAUCAUACUCUUUUAUACUCUCUUUUUUAUCAUUCUCCUAUUAUUUAUUCUUCUAUUUCCUCUUCUUCCAUACUAUCUCUAUAUUUUUCUUUUACCUUUUUCCCCUCAAAAUUAAUAUCUCGUCACCCCACCCUUAUUUCAAUGCAUUCAAUGCCCACCAUUCUUCUUUCUUUCUCCCUAUUAAAAUUAUUUCCANNNNNNNNNNNNNNNNNNNNNNNNNNNNNNNNNNNNNNNNNNNNNNNNNNNNNNNNNNNNNNNNNNNNNNNNNNNNNNNNNNNNNNNNNNNNNNNNNNNNCAAAAAAAAAAAAACAGAGAAGACAUGCCCGUACAAUCAUGCUUUCAUUUGUCUCUAAAUAGGAAAUACAAGAUUAUAAUCAGCAUCAUUACAAGUUUUGUGGCUUAAUAUAUACUAAAAACCAUAAAGUUUCAGCUUUAAUUUAAAAAACUACCAGCAGCGGCUUAAAUUCAUUUUCCUGUGUUUUGACGCCUUCUCUUGAUGCGAUUUGUGCACCUUCAGCUAGAAAUAUAUUUUGUUGCCUGAAGAUAGUAUGAGUUAUGCAAUUUGACUUUCUUUUUUUUUUUACAUGCUAAUACUAUAACCUGAAGAAGAUGGUCAUAAAGAACUAAAGACCCAAUAGGAAGAAAAGAGAAACAGAGAAUGAAAGCAGAGAGAAGAAAGAAAGAUAGAGAGACGUACUUUCCGGUCAUUCCCUUCAUGAGCAUGUCCAUCUUGGGCAAAAAAGGGCAAAAUCAAGUUUCCGACAAAAGCUCCAAUGUCAAAACCCAUUGGUCUAUAAAAUGCAAAUUCUGGAUCUAUAACCUGAGUUGAAUUAGGGGUGUCCAUAACAGAGCCAGUGUGGAGAUCUCCAUGUAUCAGGGCUUGUGCUCUUUCACAGAACCUAUGGUAAAGGGAGCUUUGAUAUAUUAUAAAGGAAAAUUUAAAAAACAAAGAGUCUACGCACUACGAAAAGAAACAGUACCGAGGACGAAAUAUUAUUAUACAUGGAUUCCAACCCAGCAACUUCGAGCUUUAAUGUAUUAUCCUCCCGAGCAGCCUCAGCGUCACGAUCAAGAUAAGGAGAAGUCCAACGGUUAAACUUAGAUACUUUGUAGGGGUCCGAGAAAACAACCUGCUCAGUGAGCCUGCAUAGCUCCACAUUCCCACAAAAUUCAGCAACUGCAACAAAAAUUAAAGCAAGCACAUUUGCUACAUUUGAUCAAACAAGUUAACCAAGUUCGAUCGCAUAUUUUAGAGGUGCUUAAACGUAAAGAUUCUGUGGUGUACCAAGUAAUAAUAUAUAUAAUGAUAUUUCAUUUUUUAUUGUAACAAUAAUUCUAUCCUCUCAAAUUCUAAAUGAUUUAGUAUAUGAUAUUAAGUUUGAAUCUUAAUUAAUGUGACAUUCCUGUAAUUUUCUUACAGUAUCAAUAUAUAGAAUUAAAAUGAUAAGUAAUCAACCAAAUGGUUGUGGCUCAAUUGGCAGCGCAGACUGAAUUUAUGGAAAGAGCUCUCGGGUUUGAUCCCCACUAAACACACUAUUUGAGAGGGAUAAAGAGCCUUAACUGUGACUACACUCCAAAUCCAGAUUAGUCAAGGCUCAAUGCUGUCGCGAGUUACCGGAUGAUUUACAAAAAAAAAAAAUGAUAAGUAAUCAAGUGAUUUUUUUUUUCAAUUAUCACAACUCUUUAUAAAUUGUAAUUACUUAAUUGAUUAUUGUAUAAACUAAUGCGUAUUUAUAAGUGUGUAUGGUGUGUGCGAAAAAAAAAAUUAUUGUUUUAUAAUGAACAACAAACUUCCCAGUUCCCACUCUUAUGAGGCAAGUAAAUACAUGCCGCCAAUCCUGGGCAAAGGAUCCGUAGUCCUCUCUAGUUGAUGGGUAGGGAGUACAGGAAAAAAUUAAAACAGAGAGAGACAUUUUAGAAGGAUAAGAUGGUCCACUUCUAUAUAUACGAAACCAAAUAAAAUGCGUUUUGUGGUGAAAAUUGAAAACUUUUUUCAGGGCGCCAGUGAAAAAAGCAAAGUCCAAGUCAAAAUCAACACUGAAGCCACUUUUUUUCAAUUUUAAAACAUAAAUGGAUUUGAAAAUCAGCCACUAUGGUGAGUGGUAAAACACCUUUUUGUGGGAUGGGGUUUGAGUCCCAAAUUUAUCUCGGUGCAUAAUUUAGAAAAUUUGAUCAUUUUAUUCAAUAUCUCAGUAAUCUUUAAUGUAUGAAUAUUAAAAUAAAUAAAUGUAUAAAACUAGUAACACUGGACCAAAAAAUUUUUUUAUACAAAUUAUAAAAGUUAAUGUAAUAUAAGAUUAUUGAUUGGAUAAAAAAUUCUACAUACAUGAUCUACAUUGUUAGUUCAUUUCAUUCUUAUGUGUUGUUAAUUUCUUCAUUCGAUCCAUACUUGUUAUUCCAUAAAAAUUUAUACGCAAUUGUCUAUAUGAAGAAUUCCGUGUGGCUCUAAAAUUAAUCGUUUAAGAGAAAGUAAAAAAUGAAUCUCAUGAUAUACUAAUAAAAAUACUUGUAUUUUUGUAAGCAUGAAAAUUCAUCGUUAUUGGCUGAGCCUAAUAUUUUGGCCAUAUUUAACAUCAUGAACCAAAGGGACUACCCUGCUUCUAUUAUAUCCAUAUCUUAUUAAUUCUUUAUCAUGAAUAUGACCCUUUCGUUGACCUCAAACUCUCCAUAUAAACCAUGGAGUCUCAACAAUUCUUGUACCAAAAUACCAACCAAAAACUAGCUAGCUCUUCUUAAUUAAUUCCCCAUGGCUCUCUUCAAAAAGCAUUUCCUCUCAUUGCUGCUAACCCUAGCAGCAACACAAACGGUCCAUGCAGUCGACUACGUCGUGACCAACACCGCCCCUACAACCGCUGGCGGCGCCCGUUUCAAAAAAGAGAUCGGCGCCGGCUACAGCAAGCAAACCCUGGCAUCCGCCACAGACUUCAUAUGGAGAACCUUCCAACAAACCAAGCCAGCUGACAGGAAAAACGUACGGAAAGUCAGCUUGUUCGUCGAUGACAUGGACGGCGUGGCGUAUGCCGUCAACAAUGAGAUUCAUGUAAGUGCAAGAUACAUAGGCAGUUAUUCCGGGGAUGUGAAGAGAGAAAUCACCGGGGUGCUUUAUCAUGAGAUGACGCAUAUAUGGCAGUGGAACGGCAACGGGCAGGCUCCCGGGGGAUUGAUCGAAGGGAUUGCCGAUUUUGUGAGGCUGAAGGCUAACUAUGCGCCGAGCCACUGGGUGCAGCCGGGGCAGGGGGAUAGGUGGGAUCAAGGGUAUGACGUAACGGCUUGGUUUUUGGAUUAUCUUAACAGUUUGAGAAAUGGCUUUGUUGCUGAGCUUAACAAAAAGAUGAGGACUGGAUAUAGUGCUAACUAUUUUGUUGAGCUUCUGGGGAAGAAUGUUGAUCAGCUGUGGAGUGAUUACAAGGCUAAGUAUGGAAAAUAAGCAAUGCUACUACUUGCUUAAGUAUUUGAUAAUAAUAUGUUAGUGGCUUUUAUUUAUUAUUAAGGUAACCUACAUAUAUAUUAAUUAAUAAUAUGUCUAAAUGACAGUUAAUAAAAUUCUAAUUCUGCAACUGUGUGGUUUGUUUGGGAAUGGCUAGCUACUUGGUUGCUGAACAUCAUUAAUUUAUUGGUUUGUGUAUUAGUUUAAAAGAAUAUAUAUAUAUAUAUAUAUUCAUGAACACUUCAAUUUAACGGUCAACAAAUUUGAACAACAGAACUUUGAAUCACAUCGCUGCUGCUUGUUAUAUUAAUUAGGGAAAAUGACUAAUAUACCCCAAACAUUUAGGGAAAGAGACACAAAACUUACAAACAUUUUAAAAAAUACAUUUAAACUUUAAUUUGUUAACGGACUCUAUUAAUUGUAACAAAAAAUUUAUUUUCAACUUAUAAUUACUAUUAUCUCUCUCUAACAAACAAGUCAAUAUAUUAACUUGUCCAUUUUACUCAUAAAUUAUUAAUAAAAUUAUGAACAUACCUUUAUUUAUAAGUGUUUGAAUUUUUUUUUUGUACAAAUCCAAUUUAAUUUCUUAUUUUACUCAAUUUAACCAUUUGAUUGUUAAUUACAUUACAAGAGUACAGGUGAGUAAGCAAUUGAACUGGGAAAUGAAACCGCUGCUCGUAUUUUUGCUGUUCCUUGUUCUUGCUCUUCUUGUGCUUGUAAAUUGUGGCUUUUGUUGUUGUUGGUUUGGUUUUGGGAUGUGAAUACUGAAAAGGGCUGAAAGAUAUUGAGUGGUUGUGGUGGUGGUGAGGGAGUAAUGAUGAUGGGGGUGGUGAGGGAUUAAUGAUGAUGGUGGUGGCGUUGAAACGUUGAAGAACAAUCCAAUGGCUUAUAGAGAGAGAAUAUCGAGAUAUGUACAAAGAUAUAGAGAUAGAGAUAGCUCUUUGACUAAUUAUAACUCUCUCAGUGUCUCUCUUGUUAGUGACAUUAUCACCAAAAUCAUGGUGCUAGCUUUUUCUUACCCCAGCUCUUAUUCUGUAAAGAAAAUGAGAUUUUCACCCUAUUUUUAUUUUCAUAAGGAACACAGCGGGGUCUGCGUGCGGAAUUCUAUUAAGGGUUUAGGAACGAACAACGGCUGCGAUUUUCUUGCUAGGGUUUCUAGUUUAAUCGAUUGAAUUUAGCGUUUUAGAUUUGUGACUAUUAGAAGAGGGUUUUUAAGUAAAUUCACCAAUUAUUAGUAAGCGAAUAUACCAUAAUAAUCUUUUAAUUGUUUAAAUCAUUAAUAAAUUGGGAUUUAAAUGUCUUUUCUAAAAUAUUUGGGAGUUUUGUGUCUCUUUUUCUAAAUGUUUGGGUGGAUUAGUUAUUUUUCUUAUUAAUUUUAUAAUUUUUUAAUUAAUAAAUUUCCAUCCUUCCGUUGAGUUUCCCAAAAAAAAAAAAAGGAAAAAAACCCAAAACAAAAUAUUUCAGCAAACAUGUUUUUUCUACUAACUUUAUAACGCUUUUAGUAUAUACGUCGGCCAGGUGACGAAAUGGAGUUAUUAAUAUAGCUGAAAAUAAAUAGACACCCGACAAUUAAUAGUGUUAAAUUGCGUUGACAGGCAUCUGAACAAAAAUAUUUUGAAGUGUUAUAUUCGAUUCAAUGAAGAUUUUUCUACUUCUUUCACUCAAAGGAAUAUAUAAGUUUAGAUAUGUACAUAAAUUGCAUAUCCAAUAUCUUGUCAUGUUUAUAGAUAUUAUAAUACUUUUUUUGGUCUAGAUGGUCAUCAAUGAUGUCUAAAUUUGACUGGGUUAUAAUCCCCAUUUAUGAAUCUUGACUUCAUUGUUAAUUAAAAUCCUGCUCAAUCCAAAGCACAGAUGAUUGAAUCCACCUCAUGAUCGUAAGCUAGGUUAGGGUUUAAUUAACAAGAUUAUAGUCCAAGCAAAACAUUAUACUAUUAUAGCCCAAAAACAUCCUAUCCGUGAGGAACUACUUAUUUUUUCAUUACAGAUAAAAGAUGAUAUUACAAAUAAAAUAUGAUAAUCCAGAAAAAUGUGAAGUAUAUUUGGAGGUGCUAAUCGAGAUCAAUGACAAUAUGUCAUCAUGAGGAGCCGAUGCUAUGAAUCAUCAAUCUUUGGAUGAGGAUAAAGGUGAACAUGUUGAUGAAAUGAUGGACAGUAAAGACACCACAAAAAAUAAAUUAGCCAGCAAUAACAUUAGUCAAAAGUUAAUGUAGUCAGAGUCACGUGUUUUUACAUAUAACAUUCAUUUACUCAUUACUUGAUAAGAGAAAAACUGUGAAGAUAUCUUUUCAUAUUGUCUUUUCUUACUGACAAUGAGUUAGCUUAGAAAAUAACAGCCAAUCACUAUUUACUGACAGUGAGUCACUACAAAGUAAUAGUAGCCAGUAAGCCUUUUUGCUUUUCAUCUCUUUAAUUCAUCGUUGGCUUUUUGCCGCAUGUAAAGUGUAAUUUUAAAGUUUUGUCUUUUGUAUACAGUGUCAUAAAUUGUAUCGAGUCUUUGGUUGUAUAUAUAGAGCUCUCAAGUCAUUAAGAGAUAAGGAAGGCGAGCGAGAGAGUGCAUUUGUAGAAUAUACUCGAAAAUCAAAAGCAAUAAAAAAUUAUUCUUAUUCAUAAACACUUGGCAAUUCUUUAGAUAGCAACUAGCAAGCCCUUAUCAAGUAGUAAGUAGUUUAAUUUCUUUGGUUUUAUUUAUUUAGUUUUUGGGUUCAAAAGUCUCGCCUAAUUAACGAAAGUAUAAAUUAUAUUUAAAACAUUCACAAAGGGCGGUUCUUAUUAUUAUUCAAGGGAAAAGAGUUUGGAGGAAAAUUUUUUGAAAAUUAAGAUUUUUGUUUUUGACAAAAAUAAUAAUAACUUAGUAAAAGUUUCAACUAAUUUUCUGAAAAUUUCUUUUUAAACAUGGUCUUUGUUGGCUUGUUUAGUCGUUAAUAUGUUGAGAAGGCAUUUUUUGGCGCGAGCCAGGAGUUUAAAAGUGUUUUUAACUAGUAUAUUUUCAAAAGCAGUUAAAUAAACUUUGAAAUGCCAGAUUUUGCCAAGGAAGCUUCCGCAGUUUUCAAAAAACGAGUGGAUCAUAUUCAUCUAUUAUGUCUUCAAUUCUUUCUAUAAUUUCUUUACCUCUACUAGAAAAUGAUAGUGAUCUUCUAAUUCUUUCUACCACAAGUCCAUUGCUUUUUAAUAUUACUUUGGCUGUUAAAAUGUUUUUGAUGUCUACUGUUCUAGGUACCAAGAUUGGUCCUAAAAUGUCUUUCAUAUUUAGCAAGGGCCAACUUAGGGUUAAGAUGUGCAUCACGAACUCUCAAAUAAGUUUAUCAAUUAUAAACAUCAUUUGUCAAAUUAAGACAAAUAAACUUAAAAUUCUAAGUUCAUUUUAAGCAAAAUUCUCACGCUGACUAGUAAUUAAUGAAUAGAAAUAAAACAAUAUUAUGUUUACAAAGUAAUUAAAAUAUGUAGAGAGUUUAUAUUCUGACCAAUGGGACAAAUAAUAUGAUUUUUUUCAUUGGCCCAUAUAAUAAUUAAUUAUUGAUCCUUAUCACUUUUCAUUCAAGUGGUGAACAUACAACAUUUUCAUGUAAGAUCAGAUACAAACUAUGUAUUAAAUUUAUCACUACUCAAAAAUAUAAAAAUAGUAAAAAUCUCAAUCAUACACUAUCAAAUACUAAGACAAAAAGUUUUUAAAUCCUCGGAAGAGCUUAGAUUAUAAGCUGAUUUAAGGAUAGGCAGGCCUGCAUUCACAACAGUGAUGAAAGGUCAAAAGGUAACAACAUUUUUAUUAUUAUGUGACAUAAAACAAGCCAUCAUAAUGACGACAACCAAAAUAUUAUCGGCAGUGUGAAACCAACUAUUUGAUGAAACCUUACUAUAUUAAGCAAACCAUUAAAAUUCACUAAUUUACGCAUGGAGCUUCCGAAUCGCUGAGACCACUUCAGUGAUGGCCUGGAAAUUCCGCCUUUCUUUGAGAAGCAACUUUGCCAGUUCGAGAGCUUGCCGCUCACAAGUUGCUCGCUUGCUAUCAUCCUUAAUUGAUUCAAAAUCCUCAACAUGGGCUACACCGACAAUCCUCCUAUCAAUCAAAAUGAAAAAAACUUCAUGAUUAUAUAGAUUCACAGGAUUAAACCUAAAUAUAUUUGGCGACUAAGAUGAUUUUGAGACACAAGCCGCACAUCAAAAUUUUAAACAAUUUGAUACUGCAUGAACUAUUUAUGGAAGAAAAUAACUGUAGUGAUAUCAACCUAAGUGCUUGUAUGAUGUAACUUAUAUAAUAACCAUAAUACUUAUUAAAUCUCAUCAAUUCUUUUCGAGUCUUUUUGUUGUUGUUUGAAUGCUUUUUCACUAAAGUUUUUUAAGAUUAAAUAAGCUAUUUUGACUCUACUAAUAAAAGUUCAAAUUUUGAACUCUUGGGAGCAAAUGUUAAAAAGCUUUUUUAAAAUGUUAUAAUGCCCAAAAUAUCUUUUACUUAUUUCACAGUAUUAUUUCAUUCAUUUCAUAACAUAGCCUUAAAAAACUUGCCCACUAAAAUAAUUUUACAAAUUUGAAUAAAAACUUUUAUUUACAACCAAAGAAUUAUUAAAAAAAAAAAAAACUCUACUUGUAAAAUCUCUACUAACAAAGCUUUGUUUGAAAAGCUAUACCAAAUGAAAUCUAAAAUUAACAUUCGUGAUAGAUUCUUUCAAGAGGAAACAUGGAGCCAUUUAAGCUAAACAAAAUUAGAACCCCAAUUCAUCUGUUUUUCUCUCAGACUGAGUUCCUGAUUUUGGGAUUUAUAAUGAUUUGACAAGCAAGGCUUUUCAAAGGUCUAAUGCAUAAAUUGAUAGAUAAAAGAACAUCCAUCGACAUUUUGUUCCCAAAAUAUAGAACAAAUGAAAUUGAGCAACGGACAAUGUCCCAAAUGAUAAAGAAGGAAAUGGGGUCCCUGUGAGUGUUGGAACUAGGAAUAAAGAAAAUAAAUGAACAAACUAAAAAGACUUAAACUCACCUUAUCAUUUUGGCAGCACCAAAUCCAAGGGUGUCAUGGAAUAGAUCUUUCAUAAAUUUUUCUUGCACAAGCUGCUGAAGCUCAGGUUUGUUAUAAAUUUCUGGAAGGUAUGCCUCACCAGAACCAUCCUUGUGUUGAU